rnacentral:rRNA from 1 species
AGCGAACGCUGGCGGCAGGCUUAACACAUGCAAGUCGAACGCCCGUAGCAAUACGGGAGUGGCAGACGGGUGAGUAACGCGUGGGAACAUGCCCUUUGGUUCGGAAUAACUCAGGGAAACUUGAGCUAAUACGGGAUAAGCCCGAGAGGGGAAAGAUUUAUCGCCGAAGGAUUGGCCCGCGUCCGAUUAGCUAGUUGGUGAGGUAAUGGCUCACCAAGGCGACGAUCGGUAGCUGGUCUGAGAGGAUGAUCAGCCACACUGGGACUGAGACACGGCCCAGACUCCUACGGGAGGCAGCAGUGGGGAAUAUUGGACAAUGGGGGCAACCCUGAUCCAGCCAUGCCGCGUGAGUGAUGAGGGCCCUAGGGUUGUAAAGCUCUUUCGGCGGGGACGAUAAUGACGGUACCCGCAGAAGAAGCCCCGGCUAACUUCGUGCCAGCAGCCGCCGUAAUAC